UAAUUAAACUAGGAUUAGAUACCCUAUUAUAUUAUUUUAAUAAAUAGUAUUAUAUGCUAUUCAGGAAAUUAAAAGAAAUUGGCGGCUUUUUUAAAAUCUUAGAGGAGUUUAUUCUAUAAAGGAUUCAACACCUCUACCUCACUUUAUUUUGUAUUUUAUUCAACUUGUAUACCUCUAUAACCCUACUAAUAAAAAAAUUUAUUAAAAAAAUCUUUUUAAAGAAAACAAUUAAGUCAAGGUGCAGUUUAUAGUCAAGAAUGAAAUAAACUAUAUCAACACAAAUAUUUUAUCAAUGAAAUUUAUUUAAAGUAAAUUUCUUAGAUAAAUUUAAAAGUAAAUAUUAAUUAUCAGC
rnacentral:rRNA from 1 species